UGCAGAGGGUGCAAGCGUUAAUCGGAAUUACUGGGCGUAAAGCGUGCGUAGACGGUUAUGUAAGUCAGAUGUGAAAGCCCCGGGCUCAACCUGGGAAUUGCAUUUGAGACUGCAUAGCUAGGGUGCGGAAGAGGGAAGCGGAAUUUCCGGUGUAGCGGUGAAAUGCGUAGAUAUCGGAAGGAACACCAGUGGCGAAAGCGGCUUCCUGGUCCAGCACCGACGUUCAGGCACGAAAGCGUGGGGAGCAAACAGG
rnacentral:rRNA from 1 species